rnacentral:rRNA from 1 species
GCCAUGCAUGUCUCCGAAUAGAAGAGCUUUCUCUCUGAAUCUGCGAACGGCUCCGCAAACCAGUUGUAAACUAUAGCAAGCAAGCGACCUAAGCUGCUCACGCGGUUUUUGGAAGCUGAUAGGGAUAACCCUGGUAAUUCUGAGGCUAAUACAAGAAGGUAAGAUCCGAUCGACCGGGCAACUGGGAGGUUGGAAGUCGCGUGAGCAAUCAUGCAAGCUUACACUAGACGGGAAUGGGUGCGCGACUCGACCAUCAUACAAAACGGUUCUAGACUGCGAGGUUAACCUCUCUCUUUUUUUCCUCCUCCGGGGGGUUCAAAAUGGGGAUUACUGAGCUAACUUGAUCCGGGUGGCUCUUGCUGUGUGCUUCUGACCUAUCAACUAGAUGGCAGCGUAAGGGACAUGCUAUGGUUACAACGGGUACAGAGGAUAAGGGUUUGAUCCUGGAGAGUGGGCCUGAGAGAUUGCUCAUACUUCUAAGGAAGGCAGCAGGCGCGUAACGUUCCCAUUGGGCAAAGCCUGAGGGCGUUAGGGGACAUAUGAAUGCUUGCCACAUGGUAGGCAAU